CCUCUACCGCAUCGCUUUACCGCAAGCAAUGAGCAACUAGCGCGGCUACAAAGUUCUUAAAAAAAGGCUGCUUGCCGACCACGACGGUGCGGCAUUUCCCUCAGCCGCGCGCCCCAGUAUGCUCAGC
rnacentral:lncRNA from 1 species